GUGUUGAACUUCAAAUAAUGAAGGUAUUUAACUCCAAAUUUUUAAACUCACACAUAGCUUUGUUAGGAGAUGCCUUACUAUAAUCAUUUGAUGAUGAGUACAACUGGUUUUAAUGUUUUCUUUUGCUAUUGGGUUCAAUCACAGUAGUUCUCUGCCACAAUGCAUGGUAAUUGUAUGUGAUGCCUCAGGUUUCUUUCUCUUGGCUAAAAUAUGCAGGGUGCAGCUGCUUGUUUAGAAGAAUUGUUGAUUUUAGCAGUUGCUUGUUUAGAUGUACAUGGGGAUGACAGUGUGAAGUAUCCGUAAUGGAAGUUUGUUAUAAGGGUGAGCAUGCACAUGUUCCUAUAACUCAAGAAAGGUUACUGGCAAGUGAGUCUUCCACAACAUUAGACCAUUCAUGUACCGCAAGUGAUAUGUUAUUACACCACUAUUCUGCUCCAUACACUCAUCCAGAAAAAGAUGUCGCCUUCCCUUUACCAUAUUAUUUAGUUGCAUCUGUCAGGAUUAACUUUCUUACAAGUUAAUCCCUUAUAAUUGACACCAUAUAACAAAUCUUCCUUUCAUUUCCUUUUAGAAUCAGUUUUCAAUUGAAAAAUAGAUGCUUUUUACUUAGUUGUACUAUGGUCUUAUAAAACUGUACUCUUUCUUUUAAAUGUUUAAGGCAUUAUCUAUGAGGAUUCAACCUGGAUUGGAACAAAAGAUUGUUAUUCUAUGAGAUUCAUAUCUUCAAGGUUAUUUUGAUAAUGUUUCAGAGCAUCUCUGAGUAGGACCACCAUUAUAUUUUGUUGUGAAGAACUUCAACUAUAGGUGAGCAAUUGGCAAUUGCUAAGGAAACUGAGCGUUAGUUGGGAAUAGGUAUAAACUUGUACCCAUCUUCAUCUCUUCUGGGGGACAGCAAGGAUGAAUUAUUUUCGGCUCUACCUGUGGAUGAACUAAUUGAGAAAGCUGAUG